GGGAACGUACCUUUUGGUUCGGAACAACACAGGGAAACUUGUGCUAAUACCGGAUAAGCCCUUACGGGGAAAGAUUUAUCGCCGAAAGAUCGGCCCGCGUCUGAUUAGCUAGUUGGUAGGGUAACGGCCUACCAAGGCGACGAUCAGUAGCUGGUCUGAGAGGAUGAUCAGCCACAUUGGGACUGAGACACGGCCCAAACUCCUACGGGAGGCAGCAGUGGGGAAUAUUGGACAAUGGGGGCAACCCUGAUCCAGCCAUGCCGCGUGAGUGAUGAAGGCCCUAGGGUUGUAAAGCUCUUUUGUGCGGGAAGAUAAUGACGGUACCGCAAGAAUAAGCCCCGGCUAACUUCGUGCCAGCAGCCGCGGUAAUACGAAGGGGGCUAGCGUUGCUCGGAAUCACUGGGCGUAAAGGGUGCGUAGGCGGGUCUUUAAGUCAGGGGUGAAAUCCUGGAGCUCAACUCCAGAACUGCCUUUGAUACUGAAGAUCUUGAGUUCGGGAGAGGUGAGUGGAACUGCGAGU
rnacentral:rRNA from 1 species